rnacentral:rRNA from 1 species
CAACGCGAAGAACCUUACCAGGUCUUGACAUCCUUUGACCACUCUGGAGACAGAGCUUUCCCUUCGGGGACAAAGUGACAGGUGGUGCAUGGUUGUCGUCAGCUCGUGUCGUGAGAUGUUGGGUUAAGUCCCGCAACGAGCGCAACCCUUGAUUUUAGUUGCCAGCAUUUAGUUGGGCACUCUAAAGUGACUGCCGGUGCAAGCCGGAGGAAGGUGGGGAUGACGUCAAAUCAUCAUGCCCCUUAUGACCUGGGCUACACACGUGCUACAAUGGAUAGUACAAAGGGUCGCGAAGCCGCGAGGUGGAGCUAAUCCCAUAAAACUAUUCUCAGUUCGGAUUGUAGGCUGCAACUCGCCUACAUGAAGCCGGAAUCGCUAGUAAUCGUGGAUCAGCAUGCCACGGUGAAUACGUUCCCGGGCCUUGUACACACCGCCCGUCACACCACGAGAGUUUGUAACACCCGAAGUCGGUAGGGUAACCUUUAUGGAGCCAGCCGCCGAAGGUGGGACAGAUAAUUGGGGUGAAGUCGUAACAAGGUAGCCGUAUCGGAAGGUGCGGCUGGAUCACCUCCUUU